rnacentral:rRNA from 1 species
CCCUAGUUCUAACCAUAAACGAUGCCAACCAGCGAUCCGCCUGAGUUACUCAAAUGACUCGGCGGGCAGCUUCCGGGAAACCAAAGUAUUUGGGUUCCGGGGGAAGUAUGGUUGCAAAGCUGAAACUUAAAGGAAUUGACGGAAGGGCACCACCAGGAGUGGAGCCUGCGGCUUAAUUUGACUCAACACGGGAAAACUUACCCGGCCCGGACACUGGGAGGAUUGACAGAUUGAGAGCUCUUUCUUGAUUCGGUGGAUGGUGGUGCAUGGCCGUUCUUAGUUGGUGGAGCGAUUUGUCUGGUUAAUUCCGAUAACGAACGAGACUCUAGCCUAUUAAAUAGGUGCGGGGUUCCCAGCACCUUACAACCUUCUUAGAGGGACAAGCGGCUCCUAGCCGCACGAAACAGAGCAAUAACAGGUCUGUGAUGCCCUUAGAUGUCCGGGGCCGCACGCGCGCUACACUGAAGGAAGCAGCGUGUCUUUAUCCCUGUCUGAAAAGACUGGGUAACCCGUGGAACUUCUUUCGUGAUUGGGAUAGGGGCUUGCAAUUGUUCCCCUUGAACGAGGAAUUCCCAGUAAGCGCGAGUCAUAAGCUCGCGUUGAUUACGUCCCUGCCCUUUGUACACACCGCCCGUCGCUACUACCGAUUGAAUGAUUUAGUGAGGUCUUCGGACCGAUGUCCGGCGCGGCCUUUCGGUUGCGCCGGUCUGUUGGAAAGAUGACCAAACUUGAUCAUUUAGAGGAAGUAAAAGUCGUAACAAGGUUUCCGUA